rnacentral:rRNA from 1 species
ACUGACCGUACUAAGGUAGCAUAAUAAUUUGCCUUUUAAUUGGAGGCUAGUAUGAAUGGCUUGACGUGAAAUAUACUGUCUCAACUAUAUUUAGUAGAAUUUAACCUUUAGGUGAAGAGGCCUAAAUUUCGCGGGAAGACAAGAAGACCCUAUUGAGCUUUAAAUAUUUAUGUUAGUGGGAGCCUAAGAUUUAUAUGAUGGUCAUUACUUCUAAGUAUGUUGGUUGGGGCGACCGAGGAGUAUAAAGUAACCUCCUUGUAAUGUAAAGAAUUUGUUAUCAACGAACCDGUAAUAUAGGUUAUUCGGUAGUUACCAUAGGGAUAACAGCGUAAUUCUUUUGAAGAGUUCAUAUCGAAGAAAGAGAUUGCGACCUCGAUGUUGGAUUAAGGUGUCCUAAGGGU